rnacentral:rRNA from 1 species
CAGUCGCCGCGGUAAUACGAAGGGUGCAAGCGUUAAUCGGAAUUACUGGGCGUAAAGCGUGCGUAGGCGGUGAGUUAAGUCUGCUGUGAAAUCCCCGGGCUCAACCUGGGAAUGGCAGUGGAUACUGGCAAGCUAGAGUGUGUCAGAGGAUGGUGGAAUUCCCGGUGUAGCGGUGAAAUGCGUAGAGAUCGGGAGGAACAUCAGUGGCGAAGGCGGCCAUCUGGGACAACACUGACGCUGAGGCACGAAAGCGUGGGGAGCAAACAGGAUUAGAUACCCGCGUAGUCCCUGUCUCUUAUAC